rnacentral:ribozyme from 1 species
UGCCCAGCAACUCCUAUCCCUACUUCCUCGUGGUACUGGCCGGGGUACGAGUAACCUUGGGGAAGUUCUGGUAACCAACCCCGGUGGGAACUUUUUUCGUAUGCUGACAGGGAAGG